rnacentral:lncRNA from 1 species
AGAUAAAAUAUUUCAUCUAGGUGCUCUCGUUGAAGUUCGCGUUACAUAUUAAAAUGAAUUUCAUUGGUCGGAACGUUUGCAAACUUUCAAUUCAAUACACAAUAUAGAGUCCAGUUCGGCAAAAAAAAUCAAAUUAAGACUCUACUUUGUCCGAUUAAACAAACAGAAUUUAGAAAAAUAACACUUUUACGAUUCUUUCAACCACGACCAAAAUAUCUAUCUUUUUCUCCGCUGAAAAUCAUUACUAUUGAUAUUAGAACAAGUCAAAAGUUGCCGGAGC